GCCCUGGAGCACUUCACAUCCGCUGUCCCAUCCCAAAACCUUGGUGGGCAGAGAAAUAGGGGCGAAAAAUGACUCUUGGAGAAGUUAAGUCACUUGAUCUGGACCACAUAGCAAGUACAGAAUUGGGGUCAGAGUUCCAAAGGCACCUUGCACACAGCCCUAGGAGGAGUGAGGAAACUGGGUCCUGCAAGAGAGCAAAUGACUUGUCCAACACUACAGAUGUGUCCUAAUUUUACCUGAAC
rnacentral:lncRNA from 1 species